rnacentral:rRNA from 1 species
CCUACGGGUGGCAGCAGUGGGGAAUAUUGGACAAUGGGGGCAACCCUGAUCCAGCCAUGCCGCGUGUGUGAAGAAGGCCCUCGGGUUGUAAAGCACUUUCAGUGAGGAAGAACGCCUGGUGGUUAAUACCCAUCAGGAAAGACAUCACUCACAGAAGAAGCACCGGCUAACUCAGUGCCAGCAGCCGCGGUAAUACGGAGGGUGCGAGCGUUAAUCGGAAUUACUGGGCGUAAAGCGCGCGUAGGUGGCUUGAUAAGCCGGUUGUGAAAGCCCCGGGCUCAACCUGGGAACGGCAUCCGGAACUGUCAAGCUAGAGUGCAGGAGAGGAAGGUAGAAUUCCCGGUGUAGCGGUGAAAUGCGUAGAGAUCGGGAGGAAUACCAGUGGCGAAGGCGGCCUUCUGGACUGACACUGACACUGAGGUGCGAAAGCGUGGGUAGCAAACAGGAUUAGAUACCCUAGUAGUC